rnacentral:rRNA from 1 species
UACGUAGGGUGCAAGCGUUGUCCGGAAUUAUUGGGCGUAAAGAGCUCGUAGGCGGUUUGUCGCGUCUGCUGUGAAAACUCGGGGCUUAACCCCGGGCCUGCAGUGGGUACGGGCAGACUAGAGUUCGGUAGGGGAGACUGGAAUUCCUGGUGUAGCGGUGAAAUGCGCAGAUAUCAGGAGGAACACCGGUGGCGAAGGCGGGUCUCUGGGCCGAUACUGACGCUGAGGAGCGAAAGCGUGGGGAGCGAACAGG